CCUACGGGAGGCAGCAGUGAGGAAUAUUGGUCAAUGGACGAGAGUCUGAACCAGCCAAGUAGCGUGAAGGAUGACUGCCCUAUGGGUUGUAAACUUCUGUUAUAGGGGAAUAAAACGUUCCACGUGGGGGAUUUUGUAUGUACCAUAUGAAUAAGGAUCGGCUAACUCCGUGCCAGCAGCCGCGGUAAUACGGAGGAUCCGAGCGUUAUCCGGAUUUAUUGGGUUUAAAGGGAGCGUAGGGGGAUUUUUAAGUCAGUUGUGAAAGUUUGCGGCUCACCCGUAAAAUUGCAGUUGAAACUGGCAGUCUUUCGUACAGUAGAGGUGGGCGGCCUUCGUUGUGUAGCGGUGACAUGCUUAGCUCUCACG
rnacentral:rRNA from 1 species